UAUUUUUGAAGGGCUUCUGAGGUUAGUA
rnacentral:piRNA from 1 species